UUGUAACUACAUAAGGUGAUGGAUAUUAACUAAACUUAUUGUGGUAAACACUUUGCAACAUACACGUAAUAAAUCAUUGUCGUAUACCUUAAACUUAUACAAUGAAAUAUGUCAUUAUAUCUCAGUAAAACAGGAAAAAAAUGAGACAUUUCCCACCAAUAUAAAUUUAAUGACAUACAACACAGUAAUAUAUUCCCUAUUAUAGUAAAUAUUUUUUAAUAUUAAUAAUAAUGAUACUACAAGCACUUACUCUAUGCAAGGUACUAUUCUAAGCAUUAUAUAUAUAAACUCCUCUAAUCUUCACUGUCUAUCUAUGAAGUCAGUACUCUUAUUGUGCUCAUUAUACAAAUGAGGAAACUGGGGCACAGAGUGGUUAAGUAACUUGCCCGAGAUCACACAGCUAGUGAGUGGUGGAGCACCGCCUGGCUUUUCUAUUGUUCCUAGCUGUCCCUACCCAGAUAGUCAUCAAAGGGACUAGGUGAACAAGGGUGAUGCCUGCUACAAUAGAAGCCCUGGUGUUCACUGCCUGCCGCCGCCAUCACCCCUGGCCACCCUCUUCCUUAAGAACCCAAUGCAAGGUUUUCCCGCCGAGAAUUCCAGACUUGAAAAUAUGCUUGUUUUUAAAUCACCAUAGAAAACACUCUGGCUGACUCAUGGGGUUUUUUUCACCCUCAAAAUAAAAUGGUUGUGCAGCCUUAAGUAUUUAAAACAACAUUUAGCUUUCGGGGCUGUCGUGGUAAGAAUCUGUUUAAAAUCUUAGUGACGUCGGUCCAGUCUGGACUGCACUAAUUGACCCGAGUCUUGCACUUGUCCUGGAUCCCUCCUCGCACACAUGUUCUUGUCGGCUGCAAGUCGUCUCUUUCCCUGAGCACCCAGAGGCUUCCGCUGGUGCAAGAGCCUCUUUCUUUCCAGAAGCCCCUGCCACAUGGAUCUGCAUCCUGGCCAAGUUUCUCAUCUCAGUCAUGUACCACCUGUUUAAAAUGUCAUUCGAAGCCUUUUCCCCCUCGUUCUCAAGUCUAGCGCUCCAUGAGUCUUUGGGUUUUGUUCAGCUCAGUUCUACACACAGAUGUGAAUCCUCAUGCACUGCGUGCUAAAUGCUGGCGUUUUGGAGAUAAAAUGAAGACAAGCUGUUGCCUGGAGAGGCUCACUGUCUGUUUUCCCCUGCUGGACCCUCCACGGAGGAACUAAGACGCCACGGCAGCAGAGCGGCGCUCACUUCAGACUCGCCUGGGUGUGCAGUGCAUGUUCUGACUGCACAAAGGCAGGGCAUGUGCUAGAACUAGACAGUUUCUCUAGGCUCUCCCUUGGUGUCCACGGUAUUUAAUACAAUGCUGGAAUGAAGACUUUACCUUCACCAAGCUGAGCGGUUCCAUCACUUCCGCAGUCUUAGAUACCAUACUUCUGAUAAUUCAACCAGAAGUCAGAGUCUCCUCGGAAACCACAUCACUCUGCUGAUUCUUACAGAGCCUACACAUCAGUGUAAGGAAACUCACAUCAGGUGAUUUUAUGGGUAGCUGGAAAUGAAAACUACCUGACGUGAAGGAUCCAGAGACGGGACAUCUGAGGAGCUGGUAGAGAAGAUGCAGUUUCCACUCCUGCUUCACAAUCCCUAUGGCACAGGGCCCCUCCUGCCCAUCUGCUGCUUCAUCAAUUUUCCAUUUUCUCCUGGA